rnacentral:rRNA from 1 species
UUAAAGAGCCGCGGUAUUUUGACUGUGCAAAGGUAGCAUAAUCAUUAGUGUAUUAAUUGUGCACUGGGAUGAAAGGUUAAACGAGAAAUGUUCUGUCUCUAUUUAACAUAUAGAAUUUUAUUUUUUAGUGAAAAAGCUGAAAUGUGUUUUUUGGACGAUAAGACCCUAUAGAGUUUUACUUUGUUUUGUUAAAUGGUUUGAGUUUUAUUUUAUUUGUUUUUUAAUUAUGAGUUUAGUUGGGGUGACUUGAAUAAUAUUUAAACUAUUCAUUUUUUUGUAUUCAUUGAUUUAUGUCGCAUUGAUCUUGUAUUAUUGAUUUUAAGAUUUAAUUACCUUAGGGAUAACAGCGCAAUUAUUUUUGAGAGUUCUUAUUGACGAAAUAGAUUGUGACCUCGAUGUUGGAUUAAGGUUUGUUUGUAGGUGUAGGUGCUUAUUAAAUUGGUCUGUUCGACCAUUAAAAUCUU